GAUCAUUACAAGUUGACCCCGGCCCCCGGGCCGGGAUGUUCACAACCCUUUGGUUGUCCGACUCUGUUGCCUCCGGGGCGACCCUGCCUCCGGGCGGGGGCCCCGGGUGGACACUUCAAAACUCUUGCGUAACUUUGCAGUCUGAGUAAAUUUAAUUAAUAAAUUAAAACUUUCAACAACGGAUCUCUUGGUUCUGGCAUCGAUGAAGAACGCAGCGAAAUGCGAUAAGUAAUGUGAAUUGCAGAAUUCAGUGAAUCAUCGAAUCUUUGAACGCACAUUGCGCCCCCUGGUAUUCCGGGGGGCAUGCCUGUUCGAGCGUCAUUUCACCACUCAGAGAUCCUCGCUUGAAAGUAUUGGGCGACGCGGUAAACCGCCGCGCGACCUCAAAGUCGACGCAAGGUUCUGGGUGUCCUUUCGGGGCUCCCCUCCCAGCGUUGGGUGGAAAAACUAUUCCGCCCUCAAAGGGGUGGGGCCGCGGGAGGCCACGCCGUAAAACAACCCCAUUUUCUAAGGUUGACCUCGGAUCAGGUAGGGAUACCCGCUGAACUUAAGCAUAU
rnacentral:rRNA from 1 species